UGUCUACCAGGGUGACCUGGAAGUCCUACGGGGUGUCCCCCUUGGCCCCAGGGCCCUCAGCAGCUGCUCCUACAAGAAUGGGCUGGUGCCUGCAUCAGCUCCUGGAGCUCCUCCCAAAUGGGCAGCAGCAGCAGCUUCUGGAGUGGCUGGGUAUCAGCAUGGGUCUGGGUGGAGGCUAUGCCAGGGCCAGUAGUAUGGGAGGCAUCACAGCCGCCAUGGUGAACCAGAGCCUGCUAAGCCCCUUAAGCUGGAGGUGGACCCCAACAUCCAAGCCGUGAGCACCCAGGAGAAGGAGCAGAUCAACACCCUCAACAAGUUUGCCUCCUUCAUCAACAACGUGGGGGUUCCUGGAGCAACAGAACAAGAUGCUGAAGACCAAGUGGAGCCUCCAGCAGCAGGAGAGGAGGCUGGAAGCAACAUAGACAGCGUGUUCCAUAGCUACAUCAACAACCUUGGGUGGCAGCUGGACACUCUGGGCCAGGAAAAGCAGAGGCUGCUGGAGGACUUCAAGAAGAAGUAGGAGGGUGAGACUGAUAAGCCAACAGAGAUGGAGAAUCAAUCUGUCCUCAUCAAGAAGGACGCGCAUGAAGCUUAAGUGAACAAGGUAGAGCUGGAGUCUCGCUUGGGAGAGCUGACUGAUGAGAUCAGCCUCCUCAGGCAGCUGUAUGAAGAGGAGACCUCCAGACUCGGACACAUCUGUGGUCCUGUCUAUGGCCAAAAGCCGCACACUGGAUGUGGGCAGUGACAUGGCCAAGUCCCCAAGUGGGAGGAGAUAGCCAAAGCAGCUGGGCGAGGCUGAGAGGGCACCAGAUCUAAGUGUGAGGGGUUGCAGACACUGGCUGGGAAACACAGGGAUGCCCUGUGGUGCACAAAGAUGCAGAUCUCAGAGAUGAACCCGAACAUCAUCUGGCUCCAGCUGAUACUAAGGGCCUCAAAGGCCAGAGGGCUUCCCUGGGGUUCACCAUCGGAGAGCCAAGCCGCUGGCUAUAAAGGAGCCAACGCCACGCUGGCAGAGCUGGAGGCCACCCUGCAGUGGGACAAGCAGGGCAUGACAUAGCAGGUACGCGAGUGCCAGGAGCUGAUGAACGCCAGGCUCCCCUGGACACUGAGUUCACCACCUACGGGAAGCUGCCGGAGGACAAGGACAGCAGCCUGGAGUCUGGGAUGCAGAACAUGAGUAUCCAUACAAAGACCACCAGUGGCUGCUCAGAUGGGCUGAGCUCGGCCUACUGGGCCUCACAAGCUCUGGCCUCAAUCACAGCCUGGGUUCCAGCUUUGACUCUGGCAAGAGCUCUGACUCCUUCAGCCGUACCAGCGCUUCCAAGGCCACGGUUUUGAAAAAGAUCCAAACCAGCAAUAACAAGCUGGUGUCCAGCCCUCUGCUGUCCUG
rnacentral:lncRNA from 1 species